GCUUGACCUCCUAGACCAAGAUUUUUUGGAGCACCUUGCUCUGCUACCGAAAUCCCGUUCUCCGUAUCGUAACUAAAUAAAUGAAUGGAUUACUAUUUAACAAUGAUUUCACAUUAAAUACUUUUUUAGAAAAUAAUACAAUGGAAAUAUCCUGGAGAGCAAUAAGAGUAGAAAUAUUAAAAAAAAAAAGGAAUUUUAAUAAGCAAUAACGAUAGAUUGAUGCGAAAUAUUUUUGGAGUAAAUAAAUAUUCUGCAAAUUAAAUUUUAUCAUGUCAUAGAUAAUACAAACUUGUUCAGAAUGAAUAUUCAUAGGUAAAUGACUAACAAUUCAAGUUCAAGAAAUAAUUAAAGCCAAAGUUAAAUAAAAUCCCAGAAAAAAUUCACUCACAAGAAUCCGCAUGCUGAAAAAAUCUGUUGAUAACUGUAGUUUCCAGAAAAAUAAAAUUUGGACUUUCGUACCAAAAACUAACGUUAGACAAUACAAAACUGUAGCUACCGUGAAUCAAGUACCCUCGUGCUGGGUUCUUGCAGGGAAUUUAUACCGAUCAGGGUACAGACAGCAUCUUCUUUCUUGGUGGUUCGAUUACGUUAUUAGGUGGGGAUGUGUGGAAGGUCGGACUUUAGCACGUAAUUCAAAGUGGGGUGUACACACAGUAAGGACAUGUGGACGUAAGCAGGUCGGUAGGUGGUACCGAGACUUUAUGAAGCCUGCAUAAAAUAUCCAAUUCAACUUUAUUAACGUUCCAAGGGUUUUCCUCCAUUUGACCCCUUCAUCAUCAUCACAAUUGUAGGUUACAAUUCAUCUAGAAUAGAUUUGAAUCGAUUAUGGUUAAUCAAAGGGCGUGUUCUUUUCAUUAAUUACAUAC